rnacentral:tRNA from 2 species
UCCGAUAUAGUGUAGGGGCUAUCACAUCACGCUCUCAUGUGGAGAACCGUGGAGACCGGGGUUCGAUUCCCCGUAUCGGAG